UAUUAGGUUUUAAGAAAUAAUAUAUUAAUAGGAGAUGUCCCAGGCAUUGUCCAGGAAUUUAUAUAAUGCAAUUUAUGUGGCAACUUAUGUAUUAAGACAUUGGCAAUUUGGCUAAUAAUAAAUUUUAAAUUAGUUUAAAAGAAUUUAUAAGUUAGCUUAGUGUGAAUUAAACUAUGAAAUCAUACUUUUCCCAAUAGCUAUUUUUGUAGUCCACUUGGUGUAAUGAACCAGAAAGCUGAAGGAAGAUAAUCAGUCAAUAAGAAACUGUGCAAGAGUAUCAUUUUAUCAUAUAAUCUAAUCCAUUUGCUAUAGCAUUUGACACAAAGACAAAUGUUGCAUUCUCUUGGGACCAAACUUGAGCUAUCAGUUUUCUAUUUCACCCAAGAGAUAUAAGUUAUAAGUUUUCACCCAAGAGAUCAAAUAGGCAGAAGCCUAUGCAGAACAGACAGAAAGACAAGCAUUGAAUUUUAUAUACAGGGUGUUCACUGUCUCCUUCAAAAGAACUGCACUGCGAUGUAGAUGACAUUCAGGCGAUUGGAAUGAUAUAGGACACUUGGGGUCCCAAAUCGCAGGCAAUGCCGUGGAUUGAGCCUCGGACUGCGCUGAGUGGCGUGGCGUGGCGUGGCGCUGCGUGGCGCGGGGCGGGUGUGGGCGGCUGUUGGCCCGCUUGCUUCGUGCUGCACAGGCUGUGUUCGCGCUGCGCCAGGCCGAACACAGCCUGUGUGGCGCGGGGCGGGUGGGCUGGCGGCCGCCCACGCUUGCCUCGUGCUGCGCAGCGCCGCGCCGCGCCGCGCCGUUCGGCGUGGUCUGGGGUUCAGUUUGCGGCGUUGCUUGUGAUUGGGGACUCCGGGUGUCUUGUGUCAUUUUAAUCGCCUGGAUGUCAUCUGCAUCGUAGU
rnacentral:lncRNA from 1 species